CUGGUCAGCAUGGAAGAAGAAAACGUCUUAGCUUCCUGGAGUCACACAGCUCAGGACAUGGCACCUUAAGAAACAUCUUCACAGUGGCCUGCCUCGCAAGCGCAAGGACCCGAGUUCGAUACCCGGCACCAAAAAAAAAGAAAAAAAGAAAAAGAAACAUCUUCAGCUAUCUUCCAACAAAC
rnacentral:lncRNA from 1 species